UUGAUUACGUCCCUGCCCUUUGUACACACCGCCCGUCGCUGCCCGGGACUGAGCCAUUUCGAGAAACUUGGGGAUUGUUGAUUUUGCGGUUUUCGGAUCGCUUUAUCGAUGAGAACCAAUUUAAUCGCAGUGGCUUGAACCGGGCAAAAGUCGUAACAAGGUGGCUGUAGGUGAACCUGCUGCCGGAUCAUUACUCAUGUAUUGAUCACAUACACACUUUAGUGUGCAUCCGUGUACAGUGUCACCGCCAUUGUCCAGUUGGCGUUGACUCGACACUGCAUGGACCGUGCCCGUGAUCUGGUCAUUGACUCUAUUGACCCGCUGUGUUGGAUGGUGUUUUGUUCCUAAACGCCAGUUUAGCAUGGUGUUCACAGGGCCUAACGGCUUUGCUGGCGUCUUUGCGUGGUUGAGCAGUUGUUGCCUCUUCGUCCGUGGCUGCGAUGAGACUGCGCGUUAGGGCCCAUGCCUUGCCUCUGGCAUGUUGGCUUAAGACUUGAUGAGCGCGUUGCCUUGCGCCGCCAGCACCAACUUUUUUUCACUAUUUUUUUAUUCACAUUGAUGAACAAAUUCAAGUCUUAUCGGUGGAUCACUCGGCUCGUAGAUCGAUGAAGAACGCAGCUAACUGCGAUAAUUAGUGUGAACUGCAGAAACCUUGAACACGCAAAUUUCGAAUGCACAUUGCGCCAUUGGAGCAAUAUCCUUUGGCAUGCUUUGCUCAGGGUCGCAAUCAUGAAGCGCCAGCUUAUGGGCGUAUGACAAUGCGUUAGAUCACGCGCUAUCCAUUGACGUCAAGCAAGAUGUUGUGGAAUGGCUUGUGUUCUUUCGGUAAUGUUGUCCUUGUACGUCUUGCAUGAUUCUGGUUAGUGUUGAUUUUGGCCCAAUUGUGUCUGAGUUGUUGUAGUGUGUCUUUUCUACAGCGGCUAGUAGUCCAUUAUCCUCCUAUCCAGUGUCUCUUGACGUUGUUGACCUAUUGAACUUUCGACCUGAGCUAAAGCGUGAGUACCCGCUGAACUUAAGCAUAUCAGUAAGCGGAGGAAAAGAAACUAACAAGGAUUCCCUUAGUAACGGCGAGUGAAA
rnacentral:rRNA from 1 species